GCCGGGUGUGGUGGCAUGCACCUGUAGUCCCAGCUACUCAGGAGGCUGAGAUAGGAGAAUUGCUUGAACCCAGGAAGCGGAGGUUGCAGUGAGCUGAGAUCGUGCCACUGCACUCCAGCCUGGGUGACAGAGCAAGACUCUGUCUCAA
rnacentral:SRP_RNA from 1 species